UAGCGUAGGGUGCUAGGCGUUAAUCGGAAUUGACUAGGGCGUAAGCGUGCCGCGGCGGCUUCCUUAAAGUCAGAGUGUGAAACUCCCCGGGCUUACCCGCUGGGAACUGCGUUGAACUGGGGAGCUGGAGUGUAGAAGAGGGGGGUGGAAUUCCGAGGUGUAGCAGUGAAAUGCGUAGAGAUCUGGAGGAACACCGAUGGCGA
rnacentral:rRNA from 1 species